GAUGAACGCUGGCGGCGUGCCUAAUACAUGCAAGUCGAGCGAACAGACGAGGAGCUUGCUCCUCUGACGUUAGCGGCGGACGGGUGAGUAACACGUGGAUAACCUACCUAUAAGACUGGGAUAACUUCGGGAAACCGGAGCUAAUACCGGAUAAUAUAUUGAACCGCAUGGUUCAAUAGUGAAAGACGGUUUUGCUGUAACUUAUAGAUGGAUCCGCGCCGCAUUAGCUAGUUGGUAAGGUAACGGCCUACCAAGGCAACGAUGCGUAGCCGACCUGAGAGGGUGAUCGUCCACACUGGAACUGAGACACGGUCCAGACUCCUACGGGAGGCAGCAGUAGGGAAUCUUCCGCAAUGGGCGAAAGCCUGACGGAGCAACGCCGCGUGAGGGAUGAAGGUCUUCGGAUCGUAAAACUCUGUUAUUUGGGAAGAACAAAUGUGUAAGUAACUAUGCACGUCUUGACGGUACCUAAUCAGAAAGCCACGGCUAACUACGUG
rnacentral:rRNA from 1 species